CCUACGGGUGGCAGCAGUGAGGAAUAUUGGUCAAUGGGCGCGAGCCUGAACCAGCCACGUAGCGUGAAGGAUGACUGCCCUACGGGUUGUAAACUUCUUUUAUAAAGGAAUAAAGUGAGGCACGUGUGCCUUUUUGAAUGUACUUUAUGAAUAAGGAUCGGCUAACUCCGUGCCAGCAGCCGCGGUAAUACGGAGGAUCCGAGCGUUAUCCGGAUUUAUUGGGUUUAAAGGGAGCGUAGAUGGGUUGUUAAGUCAGAUGGGAAAGUGUGCGGCUCAAACGUAAAAUUGCAAUUGAUACUGGCAGUCUUGAGUACAGGUGAGGUAGGCGGAAUUCGUGGUGUAGCGGUGAAAUGCUUAGAUAUCACGAAGAACUCCGAUUGCGAAGGCAGCUUACUAGACUGCCACUGACAUUGAUGCUCGAAAGUGUGGGUAUCAAACAGGAUUAGAUACCCUAGUAGUC
rnacentral:rRNA from 1 species